UUCGAUAUGGUGUAGUGACUAACAUUAUCGCCUCUCAUACUUCUUUCACAAGAAAGAGUUGGAACGCGGUAGCCGGGGGUUUAAUCCCCUGUGUCGGAA